UUUCCGUAGGUGAACCUGCGGAAGGAUCAUUAUUGUAUAGUCGAGGUGCAAGGGCUGUCGCUGACCCGAAAGGUCGUGCACGCCCGACUGCCCUCACACACAUCCCUCUCACCCCUAUGUGCACCACCGCCUGGGUCCCCCUUUGGCUUGUUCGGAGGGGGGCUUACGUUUUAACACAAACUUUUUAUGCAGUGUAGACUGUAUUUUUUGUUUUUGCGAUCACGCAAUCAAAACAACUUUCAACAACGGAUCUCUUGGCUCUC
rnacentral:misc_RNA from 1 species